CACAUGCAGUCGAGCGAAGCAGUUAAGUUGAUUUCUUCGGAAUGAUUUUUAACUGACUGAGCGGCGGACGGGUGAGUAACGCGUGGGUGACCUGCCCCAUACCGGGGGAUAACAGCUGGAAACGGCUGCUAAUACCGCAUAAGCGCACAGAGCUGCAUGGCUCGGUGUGAAAAACUCCGGUGGUAUGGGAUGGGCCCGCGUCUGAUUAGGCAGUUGGCGGGGUAACGGCCCACCAAACCGACGAUCAGUAGCCGGCCUGAGAGGGCGACCGGCCACAUUGGGACUGAGACACGGCCCAAACUCCUACGGGAGGCAGCAGUGGGGAAUAUUGCACAAUGGGGGAAACCCUGAUGCAGCGACGCCGCGUGAGCGAAGAAGUAUUUCGGUAUGUAAAGCUCUAUCAGCAGGGAAGAUAAUGACGGUACCUGACUAAGAAGCCCCGGCUAACUACGUGCCAGCAGCCGCGGUAAUACGUAGGGGGCAAGCGUUAUCCGGAUUUACUGGGUGUAAAGGGAGCGUAGACGGCAAGGCAAGUCUGAUGUGAAAACCCAGGGCUUAACCCUGGGACUGCAUUGGAAACUGUCUGGCUCGAGUGCCGGAGAGGUAAGCGGAAUUCCUAGUGUAGCGGUGAAAUGCGUAGAUAUUAGGAAGAACACCAGUGGCGAAGGCGGCUUACUGGACGGUAACUGACGUUGAGGCUCGAAAGCGUGGGGAGCAAACAGGAUUAGAUACCCUGGUAGUCCACGCCGUAGACGAUGAAUGCUAGGUGUUGGGGAGCAAAGCUCUUCGGUGCCGCCGCAA
rnacentral:rRNA from 1 species